UGAGCGCUGGAAUCUGAGGGGCUCAGGUGUCUAAAAGCUCUCUCUCUGUGGUGUGGUAUAUGGUCCACACUGGUUACUGGCCUGCAGUAGCCACUCACUGAAUGAAGCUGUCAUCUUGGGGUUUAUUAGUUAUUUUCUUUUGGGAAGCAGACGUGCACUCUCGGACUAGAUCCGGUUAGUUAGAUCUGACACUCACGCAUAGCCGACGCAAAGAGGGUAGGGUGGGUCUGAGAUAGGGUUACUUACCUGUCUUCGACAUCUGUGAUCCACCGUUGGUGUCCAUCGCUGAUCUCACCAGUCCAGAUUCUGCAGCCUCGCCACCGGCAGUACCUGAAGGAGUUCAGAGUCGAAGCUCCUGGCCCGCUGGCAAGGACUGUACGAGGUGAUCCAGCGUGUGGGACAGGUCAACUAUGAAAUCAAGCAACUGGACAAGCUGCUGCCCUUGCGGCCUUCAGGGUCACCCCCUCCACACCCAUAGAACACCGGAGCCAGAGAAUGA